rnacentral:lncRNA from 1 species
AGAGCAUCUUGACAUGUGAAGAAUAGAUUGGAUGAUGUUUUACUUUAGGACUUUUGGGAUGCCUAUUUCUUACUAACGCAUGAAAUAAUGUCCAUUGUUAUUGCUUUAUGGGUAACACUACAACUCAUAGCAAGAAAAAAGAAUACAACCUUUUUUUGUUUGUAAAUGAAUUUCGAGGAAAACGAUGAAAUUAGGCUCACACUUAGGUUUCUUGCAUAGAAACUCAAUAAGGAAUUACCUACACCACC